rnacentral:rRNA from 1 species
UACAUGGGGUGCAAACGUUGCUCGGAAUUAUUGGGCGUAAAGCGCACGUAGGCGGUUUGUUAAGUCGGAUGUGAAAUCCCUCGGCUCAACUGAGGAAGUGCAUCCGAAACUGGCAGGCUUGAGUACUAAAGAGGGUCGCGGAAUUCCCGGUGUAGAGGUGAAAUUCGUAGAUAUCGGGAGGAACACCCAGGGGGAAAGCCAGCCGACUGGGGCAUCUACUGACGCUGAGGUGCGAGAGCGUGGG